rnacentral:rRNA from 1 species
AACGCACCUUGCGCUCCUUGGUAUUCCGAGGAGCAUGCCUGUUUGAGUGUCAUGAAUAUCUCAACUCACCCGGUUUUUAUUAACUGUGGUGGGCUUGGACUUGGAGGUAUGCUGGCUGACUAGUCGGCUCCUCUCUAAAUGCAUUAGCUGGACCUGUUAUGGAUCAGUACUCGGUGUGAUAAUUAUCUGCGCCGUAGUCGUGAAGUAUUAAUAAAAGUUCUCGCUUCUAAUCGUCCUUCACGGGACAAUUAACCCUGACUUUUUGACCUCAAAUCAGGUAGGACUACCCGCUGAACUUAA